CUCCCAGAUAGAAAUCCUUCCCUGAGGUGUUGAAAAGUGAGUUAACCUGGUGCAAGGCUUUCUGGAAAGAAGAAUGUGCAAAUACGGAUGGCAAGGAUCUGUUAACAGGCCAGUUUUGGCUUCGUUCUUUAACCUUGAAACUCUACAGGUUUUAUACCCGAGCUUUGUUUGAACGCAACAGAAACCUUAAAUAGGUAGACGUUGUUAGAGACCUCAGAACUGCCCACUGUCAAAUUCUGUACUCAGUCUAAGGCCAGCAUGAGCGGAUUUCCUCCCCAGAUCAAGCCCGAGUCAGGGUAGAUCAAACAGCGGCACGCAGAGAUGUCAGGACUUCAUCCCUGGAGCCUGUAAAUGCUACUUUAUGUGGUCCAGCGUCUGUGUGGAGAGAAGAUGUUCAAAGUGAUAAAGCUUACAGCGUUGCAAGCUGGAAAGUUACAGUUGAGAGUCAAGAAAUACAUAGAUAUAAGCUCUCAGCUACUGCUCCAGAGCCAUGCCUGCCUGCCUGCCUGCUGCCAUGCUCCCCACCAUAAUGGUCACGGACUCACCCUCUAAAACUCACUAGUUUGAAAGCUGUGGAGCCUUCAUGAGAUGGGACCUGGCUGGUUUGAAAUAGGUCCUUGGGAAAGGACCUUUGAAGAGCCUUCAUCUAGUAAUGGAUGGAAGCAGAUGCAGAGAUCUACAACCAAGCACCAGACCAAGCUCUGGGAGUCCAGUGGAAGAGAGGGAAGAGGGAUUAUAUGAGCAAGGGGCCUCAAGACCAUUAUGGGGAAAUCUACAGAGACAAUUGAACCAAGCUCAAAGGAACUUGAGACUGACAGCUGUAGAGCCAGCAUGGGACCGGACUAGACCCUCUGCAUACCAGAGAAAGUUGUGUAGCUGGGUCUGUUUGAGGGACCUCUGGCAGUGUGAUUAGGAUCUAAGCCUGGUGCAUGAGCCAGCUUUCUGGAUCCCAUUACCUAUGGUCAGACACCUUGCUCACCCCUGAUAAAUCAGGGAGGGGCUUGUUCCUGCCUCAACUGGAUGUACCAAACUUAGCUGUCACCCUGUAGAAGAACUUACCUUGUUGGAGGAGAGAAUGGGGGGUAGGGGGAGCCAGAGGAGGGAUGAAAGGGGAUCUGUGGUUGGUAUGUAAA